UUGAGGAAUGUACCGCUGCAGAAUUAGAUAUUCCUACCUCCAGUUCAUGGCUAGCGCUAAACCCCAACAAGAGAUAUCAAAGUUGAUUUCCUCUUGAACAAUCUCUUCAAUGUCAAGCUUUCUCGUUGGUUUUCUAGCUGAUUCAAAUCAAAGCCUCAAGAGAACAAUUUGUUGCUCAUGAACACUAUAGACUUGUAUGGUUUUGAAUGCCUGGGUGGGAGGACAAGAGAGGAACCCUAACUUGAACCAGAUCGCCCUCUCAGGGUUGGAACGACCACACCAAAUAUAUGAAACCUCAAACCACCACUCUCUUAGGUAAGUCCAAGAGUUUAUGUUGAUAUGUCAUUAAUAGGUUUUGAACCCAUGCUUCCUUGCUUGGGCAGCCCCCACCAGUUAAUUCCAUACUCUAUAUUGCUAGCAAAUCUUUGGAUGAUACUUUUUAGCUAUGUUGGCAAUUAUCUCUCGACCCAGUAUUUCUUCAUAGUUUGGGAGCUUCAUAUACAUUUUUAUCAUGGAAGAUGAACAUGGUAAGCCACUUCAAAACAUUACCCAUAUAGUGUAUAAAAAAUCAAAUAUUUACAGUCUUUCUAUUGGUUUCUUAUGCCAGUUUUACUUAUACAAUAAAAGUAUGUAUACAAACAACGAUGUGUCACCAUAUGAUUGAAUAUUGUUUUAUCUUUAAUUUUCAAUCAUAUAAUCACAUGAUAAUACGUUGUUAUUUGUGUAUAAAGAUUAUGCACAUAACACUGCUCUUAUCUAUAUAUGCUAUUUUCAGUAGGCAUAGCAUACAACUUUCCUUCUUACCCAUAUCUGCUUUUCAUUUUGCCAUGUUUCAUCAGACCUAUCGUGUUUGGUUUUCCUUUCCAGUACACAUUAAGCAAGUCAGCCUCAUUUCAUAAUGUCUAUGCUUACAUUGUUUUAGGUAAAGUUGCUUUUCCAAAACAUAAUUGUUCUGCAACUUUUGCCUUUUAGUCAUGUACUCUAUUUGGCAAAUUGUUUCCUUAUCUAUUUAAAUUAUAUUAACUUAAUUUAUAGGAAUAAUUUAACUAGAGUUAAAUUCGAGUCCAACCAAGCUCGAACUUAGAUCAACUUGAGUUUAGGUCAACUUGAGGAGAGCUAAGCUCAAACUCCUCUCAAAAUUGUUUUAGUUUGACUCAUUAGAGGAAAUCGAACUCGAGUUCGAUAGAGUGUCAAGUCGGUUUGAUCACAAUAAAAAAAUUGAUCAGUCUAAACUGUAAUCCAAACCAACUUAAAUUACAAUUUUCCAAUUUAGUUCGAUGCACAAAAUGGUUAAAUUUAGUUUGAGAUUUUUUUGAAGCUUUUUUUUUUUUGUUUGGUUUAAAAUAAAUCUUAAAGUGGACAAAAGCGAAUACGAAUAUUUGCAAAUUAUGGUCUUCUCUUUAUUUUUUCAUAUUAAAAUUUAUCCCUUAAUUUUCAUCUUUCUCAUAAUUGCCUUAUUUAGAUAAUCUAUCAAUAUACAAAUUUAUCUUUAUUUGGAUAUUAAACAUUUUCUGCUGUUUUGUGUAUAUAGCUUAGUAAGAUUUGUAAAUCUCUCAUGCAAUGCUAAUCGUUCUCACAGGUUGACCAUGGUAAGUGAAUUUUCUUAUCUAUAAGUCAGUGUUUCCAUGAACAAACAGUGUCUAGGUUUUGUAGAUUUAGUAUGAGGCGUUUAAGGAGACUUGAUGGAAAUGCCAGAAAGAUUUACCCGUCAUAACCUCAGAAUGUUAAGGACUUCUACCUCAGUCUCACAGGGAUUGAAUGCCACUGAGAUUUGAAAUAUAUAGUACGAGUGCUGAGAGAGGCAUAGGGUGCACCCCGGGCAAUACAAGUGAGUCAGUCAUAACACAGUUGACAAAUGUGGUUCUGGAGGGGAUGUAAGGGGAACAAGACAUGAAACCAGUGGGAAGACAUGCUCAGUUGCAUUCAAUGUACAGGCUACCUAGCAUGAAUCAACCCCUAGGAUUUUCAAGCAUCAGUGAUCCCUCUCUAACAGAGGAGUGGUUAGAGCAAUGGAGAGUGUUAUGUCAUUGUUUUUUUUUUUUCUUUAAUGAGAAACCCUUUUCUAAUCGGAUCGUCAUUUCCUGGAUCAAAUUAAUCAUAUUGAAUUGACAAAUUCUGAAUCCAAUGAAUGUUAUAUCAUUGUUCCCAAUGUCAUAUUCUAAGAAAGUCAAAUAUGUCGGUUAUUUGUUGAAUGUUAAGGCGUGGUGGAGGAUUGCCAUAUAGACACAACAGGUGGUGAGCAUUACCGGGGCUGAUUUCAAGAGACUCCUUGAAGCAAAGCAUGAGCCAAUAGAUAUGACAUAUUCAGAGCUCAAAAGCUUAUAAAUCUACAGCAGGGUAACAGUAUAGUUAAAGAAUAAUCCAUCAGGUUUAAUGUCUUAGCAACAAAAUGCACCCGGGAUAGUCAACACCAUUUAGGGGAGAAUGGAGAAAUUCAUUUAUUUGCUUAACCCCGAGAUCGCAAUUUGAAUUUAUGUGUGACUCUGGUUAAAUUACUCUAUUCUAAUGUAAUUUUGAUUAAAAUCAUAAUAUUUUGAUGUAAA